UAUCUAUGAUGAAAGAUUAAAGGCUUGUUUCUCAUGAAUAUUCGCAGUGGCCGCCUGAUCGAACUUUCGCCUUCGCCAGGCUUGAGAGUUAAUGUUGCUCCAUCCUUCCUUCCUUGGAUGUCUGAGAUCCUCCUCCUCUUUUUUCAAUGUAUAUUUAUUUUUCAAUUUUAUUUUUAUUUGUCCUGAUGUGUAAGAAACUGGUGAUGAUAAUCUUAAGGCUUGUUUCUCAGAAACAUUCGCAGUGGCCGACUAAGAGCUUUCGCCUUCGCCAGGCUCGAGAGCUUAUGCUGUCUUGCUCCUUCCUUCCUUGGAUGUCUGAAGUUUCAAUAUAUGUGUUAUUUAUUUAUAUAUGGAGAUUUAGUGUGGGUUUCUCAAUGAUGAUUUCAAUAGAUGACGAGUCUGAUAUAUUAUCCAUUCCAUUCAAUUAUGAAGACGAAUCGAGGCAUUUGUCUGAGAGCC
rnacentral:lncRNA from 1 species